GACGAAUUAAGUAGAAGUUAGAGAAAGGCGGUGAAGGAAAAACCCUCGUUUAGGCCAGCAGGGGAGAGGGUCUUGAGUUUGUAAAUCCAAUAGGAUUCACGUUGCCUCAAUUUCUUAUCCCAAUCGCCCUUACGUUGAGUUUGUGGGAUAUAUUCUAUUCCCAUAAACUUUAGUUUAUUGGCAGAAUUUGAAUGGUGAAUUCUCAAAUGGCGUGAGAUUGGAGUUUCUAAGGGUCUUCUGACCGAAUUUACAUGUUCCCUAAUCCUUAAUUUGAAGGGUCUAAACGUCUUUCCCACAUACUUGAUGCCACAUGAACAGGUGAGUAAAUAGAUGACCCCCUCCGUCCUACAAUUAACAAACGAACGGACUGGAAAGGUUUCUCUAUUGUUGCUGUCCGUGAAUUCCUUAGAUUUUUGAUCAAUGAAU